rnacentral:rRNA from 1 species
AACGGGGGGAGCUAGUGUUAUUCAUCUUAACUGGGUGUAAAGGGUGUGUAGGCUGUUUUUAAAAAAUAAAAGUAAAGAAUCUGAGCUUAACUUAGAAAUUAUUUUUUUUAAUAAAAAACUAGAGGGCAAAGGAGGUUUGUUGUAUUUUCAAUGGAGAAUUAAAAUUCAAAGAUAUUGAGAGGACAUCCAUAAGGCUUAGGCUACAAACCAAAAUGUUUCUGACGCUGAGACACGAAAGCAUGGGGAUCAAAUGGG